rnacentral:lncRNA from 1 species
CUCAUGCAACAGAGCCAUGUGGAUAGCAGCUACCAGCCUACUGUGGUGACAUCAGUAGCCAUAACCCCAACCACAGCCAACAAGAAGAGAAUGAAGACCACCACAAAACAAGACAGUGGGCUCCAAGUGGGGCACACACACCCCAGAAGAUAUGCAAGAGGCCACAGACGAUGUGAAGAAUAUAUUAAAACUUCUAACAUUUAUCCAAAAGGACUCUUCCUGUGUCUGAAGGUCCCCAAGCCUGGGGCUCUUCCAGAUUCCAAGCCACAUGCCAGCCCAUGUGCACCUAAUAAAAGCCUGAUUAGAUUUUUCUUCUCCCAAGAAAGUUUCUCUGCCUAUGUCAAGCAUGUUCCUCUGACUGCCUGGAUACCCAGAUGUAAUAAAUAUGCUAAGAGUGAAAAUAGCUUCCAUUCUCUGCUCAAUUAAGAAGAGGCC